UGACAAGACACUUCACUACGGACCGUCCGGCACGUACCUGCCGGUGAAGGGAAUGGGUC
rfam:Brachybacterium phenoliresistens strain W13A50 genomic scaffold V9__scaffold_11, whole genome shotgun sequence.